rnacentral:lncRNA from 10 species
CCAGGAGGCGGGACAGGGGGCGGGCAUGGACACGCGAUCAGAUUCGCUACCGCAGAGCUCUAGCUCCGGAGCGCGCCAAGUUGAAGGCCAAAGUCGAGGUUGGGAUGCCCGAUGCCUGGCGCGGGGAGACGGAGGAAGCAAAGUGCUGCUGCCUGGUGGAAAUACAGUAUUAUAUAAUGACAUGCUACUAUGCAUCUCUACCUAACUCCUCGUCUGGUGAUGCCAUAUUGAAAUCAGCCAUACUGAGAGUAUUUACACACUGCUGAAGUCAGUAAAUGCUACAAAUCAAGGCUUGAAUGUAACCUACAUGAGAAAGAGUUGCCUUGCUCACUGCCGUAUCCCAGUAUCCCAAGAACCUUGGAGAUGCUCUAUGAAUACUGAAUGAAUCUGAGAGGAAACUAGCCCGAAGGGGGAAGGCUCUGGAAGCAAGCCCUCAUGGACCAACGGAGAGUGAGUGUCAUCAUUUUAUGUUUUCUCCAAAUCUUGUAAACAAUGUGUUUUAGUCUUAGCCUGUCAUAUGCAGCUGAAAUCUGGGGCAAAUAAAAUCACAUAGAUGCAUGUGGCUCUGUGUUAUUAUUACAGGCAAGCGAGGUAAAAUUGAAGGAUGCAAACUUGAAGGGCGUAUCACUCUCAGAUUCAUAAAAGGAAACUGAAUCUUGGGGAGAUUAAGCAACUCUUUCAAGGUCAACCGGGGAGCGGCAGAACCAGAGUUCGAAGGAAACCUUUCUGAAUCUGACGUCUGCCCCUUCUAAAUUAGGACUCUCAUCUAUCAGCCUGUGAGAAAAAAUACAGAAAGCAUCAUUCAGGCAACACAUGAACUCAAGACACUGAGACUUCGCUAACCUUCCUCGCACACAAGGUCCUAAAGGAACUACCACACGCAUGUCCACAUUUGAUGCACAUAACAGACUCUCACCGCAUUGAAAUAAACCCCAGUAUGAUCAUAAUAGCUUUUUUCUUUCAAUUUUUAUUGAACACAAGUAUUCCGACAGAAUGCAAAGUCAAAAUUCUCAGUUAGUACUCAGUAUUUAC